UUGUAUUUCAGAUUGAAGUGUCUUCACCGAUGGGCGUUGGUUCAAUUGGUACAUAUUUGAUUCUCUUUAAGCAAGAACCCGGGUUCGAGUCUUGUGGAUGUUCCCGGCUCGGACAGGAUUGCCUCUGUGCGAGUAUACCUAUGGGAAACCAAAAAAAAAAAAGAUUGAAGUGUCUUCAUAACAUGUAGUUUAUAUUGAUGCGAAUGGGAAACGAAUCUUAGAAAAAC
rnacentral:lncRNA from 1 species